ACAUCAGUCGCUCCUUCACAAACUCCUCCACCAGUGUCUCCCCCGGUGCUUGUGAUUGUUCUGGGAGUUGUGCUCUUACUGCUCUUAGUGCCACUGCUUAUACUGAUUCAGCAGAACAGAGUGAUGAGGAGAGCUCUCUCUAAGAGGAGACACAGGACGAUGUCUGAGACCGUUUAUGAGGAGAUUCAGCACAGACACAAUCACUUCACUCAGAGGGAGAGUCUCAUCUCUGAAGAACUGCAUUCUGGGUAUGAAGAUGCUGAUGAGCUUCUCUCAG